rnacentral:rRNA from 1 species
UACAGAGACUGCAAGCGUUACUCGGAUUCACUGGGCGUAAAGGGAGCGCAGGCGGACUGGUGUGUCAGGCGUGAAAUCUCGGGGCUCAACCCCGAGGCUGCGCCCGAAACUACUAGUCUAGAGACUUGGAGGGGUAAGCGGAAUUCUUGGUGGAGCAGUGAAAUGCGUAGAUAUCAAGAGGAACACCAACGGCGAAGGCAGCUUACUGGACAAGAUCUGACGCUCAGGCUCGAAAGCGUGGGGAGCAAAAGGG